rnacentral:rRNA from 1 species
UACGUAGGGGGCAAGCGUUGUCCGGAUUUACUGGGCGUAAAGAGCGCGCAGGCGGUCGAUCAAGUCGAGUGUGAAAGCCCCCGGCUCAACUGGGGAGGGUCAUUCGAUACUGAUCGACUCGAAGGCAGGAGAGGGUAGUGGAAUUCCCGGUGUAGUGGUGAAAUGCGUAGAUAUCGGGAGGAACACCAGUGGCGAAGGCGACUACCUGGCCUGUUCUUGACGCUGAGGCGCGAAAGCUAGGGGAGCAAACGGG